rnacentral:tRNA from 1 species
GCCCUUGUAGCCCAACGGCAGAGGCAUCGAUCUUAAACAUCGACCAGUGCGGGUUCGAAUCCCGCUAAGGGCAC